rnacentral:rRNA from 1 species
UAAGGAAUAUUGGUCAAUGGAGGCAACUCUGAACCAGCCAUGCCGCGUGCAGGAAGACUGCCCUAUGGGUUGUAAACUGCUUUUGUACGGGAAUAAACCUUCGAACGUGUUCGAAGCUGAAUGUACCGUAAGAAUAAGGAUCGGCUAACUCCGUG